rnacentral:lncRNA from 1 species
UGAUAUACACGAGUAUAUAUGGUUUUUAUAAAGAGAAGAUUCAUAGCAAAUGAAAUUAAAUCAAAUCAAGGAUUUUACAUAUAGGUGAAAAUUGAACUUCGAGUUUUGACGUGACCGACCAUCAAAAUGAUCCUUAUUGUACAAGGAUUCUCUUUCUUUUUCUCAACAUACUCUCAUGUUAUUUUUUGACAUUAUCUAUUUUUGUCCUCUACAUUUUUCUUGUUAAUUACUGUUACAC